AGGAAUCCAGUGUAAUACAAGAAGAGAGUCGUUUACAGGCUAUCGAGACAGCUUCCUCCCACAUACUACCAAGACCUAGCAGGGAGACAAGUGAGUGCAGAAGUGAGGCAUUUUCCCUGCUCUUUGUACGAGACCGGUGCCCAGACUUGGCAUGGCCUAGAGGAGCCAAAGUCACAGCUUUCCAGGACAGAUUUCCCUCAUGCUUUUCCCAUGGUUGAGACGCUCGUAGAAUGCGUCCACACCCUGGUCGAAGGUGCGUUCAAAGACCAGGGCCCCCAGAACGAUGGUGAGGGCAAAGGUGGAGGUGCGGCAGAAGAGCACACUGUACAGCCGGGAGCACAGCGGUACGGUGGCCUCCUCCGGCAACACCAGAUGUACUGUAGCAUAACUGGUACUGCACAGGCCUACUGUACAAGCUGCAGAGAACCCAGCCACCAGAUGCAUCCAAUGGUAGUAAAAGUCUUAUGGGGGCCUCUGCAGUCCCCACACCACUCCUGUAGUGGAGCUCAGUUACUGUGGUGAGCCAAGGGGAAUGCAGAUCCCAGUCUGAGUUUGCAUGUAGGAAAAGUAUCAUCUUAAUCCUAAACUGAGAACAUCUGAUACAGAAUUGAUGUAAGCAGAGAGAUGCAACCGACAGGGUGAAAUUCACACCCCAUCAGCCCCUCCACCUCAGUUACACAGAUACAGUGGUCCCAAUACCCUGUGAAAAAGUGGAUCCACAGCCCCUCCCCAGAUUGCCAUGGACCAUUUGCAGUUUGUCCCAAACUGACCUUCUAUGCCAAUCCUGUGUGGGCCAUUCCAGAGGGCAUCUCCAUGGUGUAGGCACCCCUGCAUGGCCACACAGCCAGCUGACCCCCAACUCCGUCUAUUAGGCUUACAUGGUAUGGAGUGCCUCACACUCACUCCUGCACCUAGCACACAUUAGGGUGACCAGACAGCAAAUGUGAAAGAUGGGGGUGGGGGUAAUAGGAGCCUAUAUAAGAGACCCAAAAAUUGGGACUGUCCCUAUAAAAUUGGGACAUCUGGUCACCUAGCACAGAUCUUGCCCAUAUUGCAUAUUAUAUACAAAAUAGAGUUUUAAAUUAUUUCAAAUGGGUUGCACUAGGAUAGAAAAUACAGUGUUAGAGCCACGGAGAUUACACGUAAAAAAGAAAAAGAGAGAUUACGUCUGAGUAAAAAAAUAAGUUCUGUUUUCUAAAAAUGGUAACUCUCCUACAUAUCCCUUGCAAACUGGACACCAUGAAAUUAGGCCUGAAUAAAGACUGGGAGUGGAUGGGUCACUCCACAAACUAAUUUCCCCAUGCUAAUAUUUCCCCCUACUGUCACUCACAUCUUCUUGCCAACUGUUUGAAAUGGGCCACCCUGAUUACACUGGCCUCAUUACCACUACAAAAGUGAUUUUUUUCCCUCCCUUGGUAUUCUACUGUUGAGAAUAGCCCAAUUCCACUUUAACUGAAUUGUCUCGUUAGCACUGACACCCCCCGACAACUUGGGAAGGCAACUCCCCCGUCUUUUCAUGUACUGUGUAUAUAUACCUGCCUACUGUAUUUUCCACUCCAUGCAUCUGAUGAAGUGGGUUUUAGCCCACAAAAGCUUAUGCCCAACUAAAUGUUAGUCUCUAAGGUGUCACAAGUACUCCUCAUUGUUUUUGCUGAUAGACUAACAUGGCUACCACUCUGAAAAAUUAAAGAUUGUGUCUGGAGGGUGAAAUAAUGCGAGUGGCAUGAUAGUU